GCCGCUAUAGCUCAGUUGGUAGAGCAAUGCCAUGGUAAGGCAGAGGUCGUAGGUUCAACUCCUAUUAGCGGCA
rnacentral:tRNA from 1 species